rnacentral:rRNA from 1 species
CCUACGGGAGGCAGCAGUGGGGAAUAUUGCACAAUGGGCGCAAGCCUGAUGCAGCCAUGCCGCGUGUGUGAAGAAGGCCUUCGGGUUGUAAAGCACUUUCAGCGGGGAGGAAGGCGGUGAGGUUAAUAACCUCAUCGAUUGACGUUACCUGCAGAAGAAGCACCGGCUAACUCCGUGCCAGCAGCCGCGGUAAUACAGAGGGUGCAAGCGUUAAUCGGAAUUACUGGGCGUAAAGCGCACGCAGGCGGUCUGUCAAGUCGGAUGUGAAAUCCCCGGGCUCAACCUGGGAACUGCAUUCGAAACUGGCAGGCUAGAGUCUUGUAGAGGGGGGUAGAAUUCCAGGUGUAGCGGUGAAAUGCGUAGAGAUCUGGAGGAAUACCGGUGGCGAAGGCGGCCCCUGGACAAAGACUGACGCUCAGGUGCGAAAGCGUGGGGAGCAAACAGGAUUAGAUACCCCAGUAGUC